UAUUUAAAUAGGUUUAGGUAGCAAUGUAAUCUCAUGUAAAUGUUUAUGUAUAUUAUUAUGCAAAUUGUGGACUGGAAGCUCUUAACCACAUAAUUAUUUAGAAUUAAAGUCUUGUGUUUUAUCUAGUGUUCUGUAAUGUUUACUUAGAUGUACCAGUAAUAUGUUCUUAAGUGAAUUCAAUUUUUAGCAUUCUGUGUUCUACAAUUCCAUGUAAAGUAUUUUAUACUGAUGUUUCUAUUUACCCAGAGAUCAUUGACUAGUAAAGCAUUUGUGACUACCGUAUCUUCAAUCUAAUUGAAAUUAGAUCCUCAACGAUGUUGCUGUGAGGAUCUAACAACAUCCCAUAUGGGGUCAUCUCAGAUUGAACUUUGCGAAAAAAAAAUAGCAGCCAAUCAAAUUUACAUUCACAGCGACAUAUCAAAUACAAGAGCGUGAAGGAUCUAAUUUUAAUUAGAUUGACCGUAUCUUAAAAUACACAUAGGAAGAAGAUUCUCUAUCUCACACAGGUUUCUAUAUAGAAUGUUUUCUUAGAUUUCUACUUAAAAUUGGUUUAUACUCAUAUACGUAUAAAUGUUGUGAAUAGAAAGCAUGUCCAACAAAAAUAAAAAGAUCAAUGUCAACUGUUUUUGUCUAGCUGAAACAUAAAGAUCGACCAUGGUACCAAUUUUUAUUUUGGCAUUUACAUGCAUUUGCUGCCCCCUUUCACUUGGUUAAACUGCAAAUGUUACCUUAAUUAAAUAUAACAGCAUUUAUAAGGAUUUAUAAAGUAUGUUUGAUGCCUGCACAAAAAUUAUCCUUUUGAUAAGGGAGGGAAUUUUUCCAAUUGGCUUUUCUUCAUUCCAAUACCUUAGCGCAAUAAGAGUGUUGAAUAUGAAAUGUUUAUAGUACAUUACUUUUUUUCAGUUUUGUAUUUAUAGUGCAGAAAAAGCAUUGAUUGUUAUAGAAACUAUGAAUAAAUAUAUCAAUUAC
rnacentral:sRNA from 1 species